rnacentral:rRNA from 1 species
UACGUAGGGGGCAAGCGUUGUCCGGAAUCACUGGGCGUAAAGGGUGCGUAGGCGGGUCUUUAAGUCAGGGGUGAAAUCCUGGAGCUCAACUCCAGAACUGCCUUUGAUACUGAAGAUCUUGAGUUCGGGAGAGGUGAGUGGAACUGCGAGUGUAGAGGUGAAAUUCGUAGAUAUUCGCAAGAACACCAGUGGCGAAGGCGGCUCACUGGCCCGAUACUGAUGCUGAGGCACGAAAGCGUGGGGAGCAAACAGG